CAUCUCUCCUGUCCUGUGUGGCUUUUAUCGCCCUAAAGGUGUAAAAUCACACACUGAGAAACCAUUACUACCCCGUCUUAGGGCUAAAUGUAAGUACAAAGGCAAAGUGAUGGCAGACUAGUUGGGAUUCAAAUUCAGUUUACAAGAUGAGGGAAUUCGUGGCUUCAGAACAUCCCUCCCUUUCUGGAAAGCUAAGGGCGCCAGUGUGGCUUAGUGGUUAGAUCGCACGCCCCAUAUAGAGGCUCUUGCCGUCAAAGGAGUGACCUCGGUUCAUGGCCAACCUGCAGCCUUUUGCAGCAUUCCCCACUCCACUUCCCAGUUUCCUGCUCUAUCCAUCGUCCUAUCUCUUCCAAUA